GUGGUCUACCAGAGAGGGCACAUGUGCCUCAAUUGGCCUAUAGCAUAGCGACUCAUUAUCCUUCCACCGCUGGUGGCGGGCGAUACUCGCUGCUCUGUGAAGCCAGCCUCACGCAAUGUCCGCCACUUUAGGUGUUGGGAUGCAAAGGCUUUCUCCAAGGCAUCCGAAACCCACUACACAACUUGGAAUGGGUGGUCCACAGUUUGUAGCACUAGACCCAGGCACAUGCACCACAAUUGACAUCCACACUACCUUAUUGCCCCCGCUCGGGUUACAAGCAAUCGCUACUUGCUCAGCGAGUGAGGGGGUUCAAGACUACCUAUUUAAGGUGGUGUUGUACUCUAUGAGCCGACAGUGUGGUAUUUACCAACUACAAAUAGUGUCAUGCAUGUGACUUGCUAGUUGACAAUGUCUGUUGUCGAGCUAGAUGUGGGCUAUGGAUGAAGCACAUUAGGAUAUAGUAGGCCUAUUUUGUUUUUUGUUGUUUUUGGGCCACUAUGGACUUUAUGUUGAUGUUGUGAAAUUUUUUCCUGUGUUUCCUCUUCCUACGAUGUGGAAAGUGGGUGCGUCAGAGAAGAAAGAAAGAGUAGCUAGCAUUGAUUUUACGUCAUACCAUUGAGAACACUAAUCAGAAGCAGAAGCAACAAUAUUUCAUACAUAUACAACACUUGUAAUCCAUAUAAACAACUUUCCUUUAAAAUAUAAUAUAAACCACUUGAUUUAUAUCCUGGGUCGGCUAUCUCCACAAAGGGCAAGAAAACGCACCAAGUUUGUAGUAUAGAACUAAAAGUGUCGAUUCUCACGAUUUCUUCCCAACAUAUACAAACUAGACAGUAAUCACAUAAAAUAAAGAAAUAUGUGUUAACACGAACUUAUAGCAUGUAUUUCAACAUAUAGAUUGUUGAUUAUUAUGGUAGAUUAUAUAAAAUAGGGGUUCCCGAAGAAAUACAUAAAAACAAGAGCAUUAAAAGUUCCUUUUCAGAUCUGGCUAUCUAGUAAAAGGAGUUGGAGUAACUGAGUUUCCAAAUUUGUGACGUAGCUCUAUAGAAGGAAUAUAAAUACGUUGGAAAAAUUCUACAAGGAAAGGUCUAAUACAAGUAGGGCUAAGAAAAACUCAAUGAGGCUUUGGUCACAUGGUCACAAAACUUGAGACAAGAAACACGAAGACACCAAGGUAAUUAGUAUGAGAGUUUUCCAAAUUUGGUGUCUUGAUGUAGAAAAAAUAAAUAUAUGACAAACUUGUUUUUUCGCAAGGCAUGGAUAAAUAAGUGGGGGUGAACAAUAAAUUUCAUCCUAGAUUUAGAAGGAAUAAAUAUAUCACUAAAUACGUUUUUUCACAAUGCCAAGUUAAUCAGGUGGGAGCGAGAAACAAUUCUAGCGAGGCUAGUUUGUACUAGCCCAAAACUACAUACAACAGAGGAAAAAUGAAGAAAAUGAUGGUCUACCAAAUAGGGCGCAUGAGCCUUAAGGUGCACCUAGAGGGAAGUAGAAGAAAUAAAUAUAUAAUAGCAUAUGUUUUUCGCAAUGCAAGGUAAAGUGUAGAUGUGCUCUAACUGGGCUUAGAUUGCAGCGACACAUUAUGCAUCUACAAGGCUUGGUUGCACAUGGAAAAAGAUAGAGAGAGAAAUGUAGACGCAGGACCGGGAGAAAAACAUUCAAUGAGACAUGAUUGCACGGACAUAGAACUAGAUAUAAGACAAGAGUUAAAGAAAAAUAAAGGAACUAAAUUUUCUUCUACACACUCAGCAUGAAUGGAGUUGUAGUAUCUGAGAUCAAAAUUUAAUUUAUUCCAAGAUGCAGAACAAAAACGUGAUACUCGUAAUGGUUACAUAGGAACAAAAGUAGAUAAGAAAAAUAGCAAAAAGAUAGUGGUCUACCAGAGAGGGCACAUGUGCCUCAAUUGGCCUAUAGCAUAGCGACUCAUUAUCCUUCCACCGCUGGUGGCGGGCGGUACUCGCUGCUCUAUGAAGCCAGCCUCACGCAAUGUCCGCCACUUUAGGUGUUGGGAUGCAAAGGCUUUCGCCAAGGCAUCCGAAACCCACUACACAACUUGGAAUGGGUGGUCCACAGUUUGUAGCACUAGACCCAGGCACAUGCACCACAAUUGACAUCCACACUACCUUAUUGCCCCCGCUCGGGUUACAAGCAAUCGCUACUUGCUCAGCGAGUGAGGGGGUUCAAGACUACCUAUUUAAGGUGGUGUUGUACUCUAUGAGCCGACAGUGUGGUAUUUACCAACUACAAAUAGUGUCAUGCAUGUGACUUGCUAGUUGACAAUGUCUGUUGUCGAGCUAGAUGUGGGCUAUGGAUGAAGCACAUUAGGAUAUAGUAGGCCUAUUUUGUUUUUUGUUAUUUUUGGGCCACUAUGGACUUUAUGUUGAUGUUGUGAAAUUUUUUCUUGUGUUUCCUCUUCCUACGAUGUGGAAAGUGGGUGCGUCAGAGAAGAAAGAAAGAGUAGCUAGCAUUGAUUUUCCGUCAUACCAUUGAGAACACUAAUCAGAAGCAGAAGCAACAAUAUUUCAUACAUAUACAACACUUGUAAUCCAUAUAAACAACUUUCCUUUAAAAUAUAAUGUAAACCACAUGAUUUAUAUCUAGGGUCGGCUAUCUCCACAAAGGGCAAGAAAACGCUCCAAGUUUGUAGUAUAGAACUAAAAGUGUCGAUUCUCACGAUUUCUUCCCGACAUAUACAAACUAGACAGUAAUCACAUAAAAUAAAGAAAUAUGUGUUAACACGAACUUAUAGCAUGUAUUUCAACAUAUAGAUUGUUGAUUAUUAUGGUAGAUUAUAUAAAAUAGGGGUUCCCGAAGAAAUACGUAAAAACAAGAGCAUUAAAAUUUCCUUUUCAGAUCUGGCUAUCUAGUAAAAGGAGUUGGAGUAACUGAGUUUCCAAAUUUGUGACGUAGCUCUAUAGAAGGAAUAUAAAUACGUUGGAAAAAUUCUACAAGGAAAGGUCUAAUACAAGUAGGGCUAAGAAAAACUCAAUGAGGCUUUGGUCGCAUGGUCACAAAACUUGAGACAAGAAACACGAAGACACCAAGGUAAUUAGUAUGAGAGUUUUCCAAAUUUGGUGUCUUGAUGUAGAAAAAAUAAAUAUAUGACAAACUUGUUUUUUCGCAAGGCAUGGAUAAAUAAGUGGGGGUGAACAAUAAAUUCAUCCUAGAUUUAGAAGGAAUAAAUAUAUCACUAAAUACGUUUUUUCACAAUGCCAAGUUAAUCAGGUGGGAGCGAGAAACAAUUCUAGCGAGGCUAGGUUGUACUAGCCCAAAACUACAUACAACAGAGGAAAAAUGAAGAAAAUGGUGGUCUACCAAAUAGGGCGCAUGAGCCUUAAGGUGCACCUAGAGGGAAGUAGAAGAAAUAAAUAUAUAAUAGCAUAUGUUUUUCGCAAUGCAAGGUAAAGUGUAGAUGUGCUCUAACUGGGCUUAGAUUGUAGCGACACAUUAUGCAUCUACAAGGCUUGGUUGCUCAUGGAAAAAGAUAGAGACAGAAAUGUAGACGCAGGACCGGGAGAAAAACAUUCAAUGAGACGUGAUUGCACGGACAUAGAACUAGUUAUAAGACAAGAGUUAAAGAAAAAUAAAGGAACUAAAUUUUCUUCUGCACACUAAGCAUGAAUGGAGUUGUAGUAUCUGAGAUCAAAAUUUAAUUUAUUCCAAGAUGCAGAACAAAAACGUGAUACUCGUAAUGGUUACAUAGGAACAAAAGUAGAUAAGAAAAAUAGCAAAAAGAUAGUGGUCUACCAGAGAGGGCACAUGUGCCUCAAUUGGCCUAUAGCAUAGCGACUCAUUAUCCUUCCACCGCUGGUGGCGGGCGGUACUCGCUGCUCUGUGAAGCCAACCUCACGCAAUGUCCGCCACUUUAGGUGUUGGGAUGCAAAGGCUUUCGCCAAGGCAUCCGAAACCCACUACACAACUUGGAAUGGGUGGUCCACAGUUUGUAGCACUAGACCCAGGCACAUGCACCACAAUUAACAUUCACACUACCUUAUUGCCCCCGCUCGGGUUACAAGCAAUCGCUACUUGCUCAGCGAGUGAGGGGGUUCAAGACUACCUAUUUAAGGUGGUGUUGUACUGUAUGAGCCGGCGGUGUGGUAUUUACCAACUACAAAUAGUGUCAUGCAUGUGACUUGCUAGUUGACAAUGUCUGUUGUCGAGCUAGAUGUGGGCUAUGGAUGAAGCACAUUAGGAUAUAGUAGGCCUAUUUUGUUUUUUGUUGUUUUUGGGACACUAUGGACUUUAUGUUGAUGUUGUGAAAUUUUUUCUUGUGUUUCCUUUUCCUACGAUGUGGAAAGUGGGUGCGUCAGAGAAGAAAGAAAGAGUGGCUAGCAUUGAUUUUACGUCAUACCGUUGAGAACACUAAUCAGAAGCAGAAGCAACAAUAUUUCAUACAUAUACAACACUUGUAAUCCAUAUAAACAACUUUCCUUUAAAAUAUAAGAUAAACCACAUGAUUUAUAUCCUGGGUCGGCUAUCUCCACAAAGGGCAAGAAAACGCUCCAAGUUUGUAGUAUAGAACUAAAAGUGUCGAUUCUCACGAUUUCUUCCCGACAUAUACAAACUAGACAGUAAUCACAUAAAAUAAAGAAAUAUGUGUUAACAAGAACUUAUACCAUGUAUUUCAACAUAUAGAUUGUUGAUUAUUAUGGUAGAUUAUAUAAAAUAGGGGUUCCCGAAGCAAUACAUAAAAACAAGAGCAUUAAAAUUUCCUUUUCAGAUUUGGCUAUCUGGUAAAAGGAGUUGGAGUAACUGAGUUUCCAAAUUUGUGCCGUAGCUCUAUAGAAGGAAUAUAAAUACGUUGGAAAAAUUCUAUAAGGAAAGGUUUAAUACAAGUAGGGCUAAGAAAAACUCAAUGAGGCUUUGGUCGCAUGGUCACAAAACUUGAGACAAGAAACACGAAGACACCAAGGUAAUUAGUAUGAGAGUUUUCCAAAUUUGGUGUCUUGAUGUAGAAAAAUAAAUAUAUGAAAAACUUGUUUUUUCGCAAGGCAUGGAUAAAUAAGUGGGGGUGAGCAAUAAAUUUCAUCCUUGAUUUAGAAGGAAUAAAUAUAUCACUAAAUACGUUUUUUCACAAUGCCAAGUUAAUCAGGUGGGACCGAGAAACAAUUCUAGCGAGGCUAGGUUGUACUAGCCCAAAACUACAUACUACAGAGGAAAAAUGAAGAAAAUGAUGGUCUACCAAAUAUGGCGCAUGAGCCUUAAGGUGCACCUAGAGGGAAGUAGAAGAAAUAAAUAUAUAAUAGCAUAUGUUUUUCGCAAUGCAAGGUAAAGUGUAGAUGUGCUCUAACUAGGCUUAGAUUGCAGCGACACAUUAUGCAUCUACAAGGCUUGGUUGCACAUGGAAAAAGAUAGAGAGAGAAAUGUAGACGCAGGACCGAGAGAAAAACAUUCAAUGAGACGUGAUUGCACGGACAUAGAACUAGAUAUAAGACAAGAGUUAAAGAAAAAUAAAGGAACUAAAUUUUCUUCUGCACACUAAGCAUGAAUGGAGUUGUAGUAUCUGAGAUCAAAAUUUAAUUUAUUCCAAGAUGCAGAACAAAAACGUGAUACUCGUAAUGGUUACAUAGGAACAAAAGUAGAUAAGAAAAAUAGCAAAAAGAUAGUGGUCUACCAGAGAGGGCACAUGUGCCUCAAUUGGCCUAUAGCAUAGCGACUCAUUAUCCUUCCACCGCUGGUGGCGGGCGGUACUCGCUGCUCUGUGAAGCCAGCCUCACGCAAUGUCCGCCACUUUAGGUGUUGGGAUGCAAAGGCUUUCGCCAAGGCAUCCGAAACCCACUACACAACUUGGAAUGGGUGUUCCACAAUUUGUAGCACUAGACCCAGGCACAUGCACCACAAUUGACAUCCACACUACCUUAUUGCCUCCGCUCGGGUUACAAGCAAUCGCUACUUGCUCAGCGAGUGAGGGGGUUCAAGACUACCUAUUUGAGGUGGUGUUGUACUCUAUGAGCCGGCGGUGUGGUAUUUACCAACUACAAAUAGUGUCAUGCAUGUGACUUGCUAGUUGACAAUGUCUGUUGUCGAGCUAGAUGUGGGCUAUGGAUGAAGCACAUUAGGAUAUAGUAGGCCUAUUUUGUUUUUUGUUGUUUUUGGGCCACUAUGGACUUUAUGUUGAUGUUGUGAAAUUUUUUCUUGUGUUUCCUCUUCAUACGAUGUGGAAAGUGGGUGCCGUCAGAGAAGAAAGAAAGAGCGGCUAGCAUUGAUUUUACGUCAUACCAUUGAGAACACUAAUUAGAAGCAGAAGCAACAAUAUUUCAUACAUAUACAACACUUGUAAUCCAUAUAAACAACAUUCCUUUAAAAUAUAAUAUAAACCACAUGAUUUAUAUCCUGGGUCAGCUAUCUCCACAAAGGGCAAGAAAACGCUCCAAGUUUGUAGUAUAGAACUAAAAGUGUCGAUUCUCACGAUUUCUUCCCGACAUAUACAAACUAGACAGUAAUCACAUAAAAUAAAGAAAUAUGUGUUAACACGAACUUAUAACAUGUAUUUCAACAUAUAGAUUGUUGAUUAUUAUGGUAGAUUAUAUAAAAUAGGGGUUCCCGAAGAAAUACAUAAAAACAAGAGCAUUAAAAUUUCCUUUUCAGAUCUGGCUAUCUGGUAAAAGGAGUUGGAGUAACUGAGUUUCCAAAUUUGUGACGUAGCUCUAUAGAAGGAAUAUAAAUACGUUGGAAAAAUUCUACAAGGAAAGGUUUAAUACAAGUAGGGCUAAGAAAAACUCAAUGAGGCUUUGGUCGCAUGGUCACAAAACUUGAGACAAGAAACACGAAGACACCAAGGUAAUUAGUAUGAGAGUUUUCCAAAUUUGGUGUCUUGAUGUAGAAAAAAUAAAUAUAUGACAAACUUGUUUUUUCGCAAGGCAUGGAUAAAUAAGUGGGGGCGAGCAAUAAAUUUCAUCCUAGAUUUAGAAGGAAUAAAUAUAUCACUAAAUACGUUUUUUCAUAAUGCCAAGUUAAUCAGGUGGGAGCGAGAAACAAUUCUAGCGAGGUUAGGUUGUACUAGCCCAAAACUACAUACAACAGAGGAAAAAUGAAGAAAAUGAUGGUCUACCAAAUAUGGCGCAUGAGCCUUAAGGUGCACGUAGAGGGAAGUAUAAGAAAUAAAUAUAUAAUAGCAUAUGUUUUUCGCAAUGCAAGGUAAAGUGUAGAUGUGCUCUAACUGGGCUUAGAUUGCAGCGACACAUUAUGCAUCUACAAGGCUUGGUUGCACAUGGAAAAAGAUAGAGAGAGAAAUGUAGACACAGGACCGGGAGAAAAACAUUCAAUGAGACAUGAUUGCACGGACAUAGAACUAGAUAUAAGACAAGAGUUAAAGAAAAAUAAAGGAACUAAAUUUUCUUCUACACACUCAGCAUGAAUGGAGUUGUAGUAUCUGAGAUCAAAAUUUAAUUUAUUCCAAGAUGCAGAACAAAAACGUGAUACUCGUAAUGGUUACAUAGGAACAAAAGUAGAUAAGAAAAAUAGCAAAAAGAUAGUGGUCUACCAGAGAGGGCACAUGUGCCUCAAUUGGCCUAUAGCAUAGCGACUCAUUAUCCUUCCACCGCUGGUGGCGGGCGGUACUCGCUGCUCUGUGAAGCCAGCCUCACGCAAUGUCCGCCACUUUAGGUGUUGGGAUGCAAAGGCUUUCGCCAAGGCAUCCGAAACCCACUACACAACUUGGAAUGGGUGUUCCACAGUUUGUAGCACUAGACCAUGGCACAUGCACCACAAUUGACAUCCACACUACCUUAUUGCCCCCGCUCGGGUUACAAGCAAUCACUACUUGCUCAUCAAGUGAGGGGGUUCAAGACUACCUAUUUAAGGUGGUGUUGUACUCUAUGAGCCGACGGUGUGGUAUUUACCAACUACAAAUAGUGUCAUGCAUGUGACUUGCUAGUUGACAAUGUCUGUUGUCGAGCUAGAUGUGGGCUAUGGAUGAAGCACAUUAGGAUAUAGUAGGCCUAUUUUGUUUUUUGUUGUUUUUGGGCCACUAUGGACUUUAUGUUGACGUUGUGAAAUUUUUUCUUGUGUUUCCUCUUCCUACGAUGUGGAAAGUGGGUGCCGUCAGAGAAGAAAGAAAGAGUGGCUAGCAUUGAUUUUACGUCAUACCAUUGAGAACACUAAUCAGAAGCAGAAGCAACAAUAUUUCAUACAUAUACAACACUUGUAAUCCAUAUAAACAACUUUCCUUUAAAAUAUAAUAUAAACCACAUGAUUUAUAUCCUGGGUCGGCUAUCUCCACAAAGGGCAAGAAAACGCUCCAAGUUUGUAGUAUAGAACUAAAAGUGUCGAUUCUCACGAUUUCUUCCCGACAUAUACAAACUAGACAGUAAUCACAUAAAAUAAAGAAAUAUGUGUUAACACGAACAUAUAGCAUGUAUUUCAACAUAUAGAUUGUUGAUUAUUAUGGUAGAUUAUAUAAAAUAGGGGUUCCCGAAGAAAUACAUAAAAACAAGAGCAUUGAAAUUUCCUUUUCAGAUCUGGCUAUCUGGUAAAAGGAGUUGGAGUAACUGAGUUUCCAAAUUUGUGACGUAGCUCUAUAGAAGGAAUAUAAAUACGUUGGAAAAAUUCUACAAGGAAAGGUUUAAUACAAGUAGGGCUAAGAAAAACUCAAUGAGGCUUUGGUCGCAUGGUCACAAAACUUGAGACAAGAAACACGAAGACACCAAGGUAAUUAGUAUGAGAGUUUUCCAAAUUUGGUGUCUUGAUGUAGAAAAAAUAAAUAUAUGACAAACUUGUUUUUUCGCAAGGCAUGGAUAAAUAAGUGGGGGCGAGCAAUAAAUUUCAUCCUAGAUUUAGAAGGAAUAAAUAUAUCACUAAAUACGUUUUUUCAUAAUGCCAAGUUAAUCAGGUGGGAGCGAGAAACAAUUCUAGCGAGGCUAGGUUGUACUAGCCCAAAACUACAUACAACAGAGGAAAAAUGAAGAAAAUGAUGGUCUACCAAAUAUGGCGCAUGAGCCUUAAGGUGCACCUAGAGGGAAGUAGAAGAAAUAAAUAUAUAAUAGCAUAUGUUUUUCGCAAUGCAAGGUAAAGUGUAGAUGUGCUCUAACUGGGCUUAGAUUGCAGCGACACAUUAUGCAUCUACAAGGCUUGGUUGCACAUGGAAAAAGAUAGAGAGAGAAAUGUAGACACAGGACCGGGAGAAAAACAUUCAAUGAGACAUGAUUGCACGGACAUAGAACUAGAUAUAAGACAAGAGUUAAAGAAAAAUAAAGGAACUAAAUUUUCUUCUGCACACUCAGCAUGAAUGGAGUUGUAGUAUCUGAGAUCAAAAUUUAAUUUAUUCCAAGAUGCAGAACAAAAACGUGAUACUCGUAAUGGUUACAUAGGAACAAAAGUAGAUAAGAAAAAUAGCAAAAAGAUAGUGGUCUACCAGAGAGGGCACAUGUGCCUCAAUUGGCCUAUAGCAUAGCGACUCAUUAUCCUUCCACCGCUGGUGGCGGGCGGUACUCGCUGCUCUGUGAAGCCAGCCUCACGCAAUGUCCGCCACUUUAGGUGUUGGGAUGCAAAGGCUUUCGCCAAGGCAUCCGAAACCCACUACACAACUUGGAAUGGGUGGUCCAAAGUUUGUAGCACUAGACCCAGGCACAUGCACCACAAUUGACAUCCACACUACCUUAUUGCCCCCGCUCGGGUUACAAGCAAUCGCUACUUGCUCAGCGAGUGAGGGGGUUCAACACUACCUAUUUAAGGUGGUGUUGUACUCUAUAAGCCGGCGGUGUGGUAUUUACCAACUACAAAUAGUGUCAUGCAUGUGACUUGCUAGUUGACAAUGUCUGUUGUCGAGCUAGAUGUGGGCUAUGGAUGAAGCACAUUAUGAUAUAGUAGGCCUAUUUUGUUUUUUGUUGUUUUUGGGCCACUAUGGACUUUAUGUUGAUGUUGUGAAAUUUUUUCUUGUGUUUCCUCUUCCUACGAUGUGUAAAGUGGGUGUGUUAGAGAAGAAAGAAAGAGUGGCUAGCAUUGAUUUUACGUCAUACCAUUGAGAACACUAAUCAGAAGCAGAAGCAACAAUAUUUCAUACAUAUACAACACUUGUAAUCCAUAUAAACAACUUUCCUUUAAAAUAUAAUAUAAACCACAUGAUUUAUAUCCUGGGUCGGCUAUCUCCACAAAGGGCAAGAAAACGCUCCAAGUUUGUAGUAUAGAACUAAAAGUGUCGAUUCUCACGAUUUCUUCCCGACAUAUACAAACUAGACAGUAAUCACAUAAAAUAAAGAAAUAUGUGUUAACACGAACUUAUAGCAUGUAUUUCAACAUAUAGAUUGUUGAUUAUUAUGGUAGAUUAUAUAAAAUAGGGGUUCCCAAAGAAAUACAUAAAACAAGAGCAUUAAAAUUUCCUUUUCAGAUCUGGCUAUCUGGUAAAAGGAGUUGGAGUAACUGAGUUUCCAAAUUUGUGACGUAGCUCUAUAGAAGGAAUAUAAAUACGUUGGAAAAAUUCUACAAGGAAAGGUUUAAUACAAGUAGGGCUAAGAAAAACUCAAUGAGGCUUUGGUCGCAUGGUCACAAAACUUGAGACAAGAAACACGAAGACACAAAGGUAAUUAGUAUGAGAGUUUUCCAAAUUUGGUGUCUUGAUGUAGAAAAAAUAAAUAUAUGACAAACUUGUUUUUUCGCAAGGCAUGGAUAAAUAAGUGGGGGUGAGCAAUAAAUUUCAACCUAGAUUUAGAAGGAAUAAAUAUAUCACUAAAUACAUUUUUUACAAUGCCAAGUUAAUCAGGUAGGAGCGAGAAACAAUUCUAGCGAGGCUAGGUUGUACUAGCCCAAAACUACAUACAAAAGAGGAAAAAUGAAGAAAAUGAUGGUCUACCAAAUAUGGCACAUGAGCCUUAAGGUGCACCUAGAGGGAAGUAGAAGAAUAAAUAUAUAAUAGCAUAUGUUUUUCGCAAUGCAAGGUAAAGUGUAGAUGUGCUCUAACUGGGCUUAGAUUGCAGCGACACAUUAUGCAUCUACAAGGCUUGGUUGCACAUGGAAAAAGAUAGAGAGAGAAAUGUAGACGCAGGACCGGGAGAAAAACAUUCAAUGAGACGUGAUUGCACGGACAUAGAACUAGAUAUAAGACAAGAGUUAAAGAAAAAAGGAACUAAAUUUUCUUGUGCACACUAAGCAUGAAUGGAGUUGUAGUAUCUGAGAUCAAAAUUUAAUUUAUUCCAAGAUGCAGAACAAAAACGUGAUACUCGUAAUGGUUACAUAGGAACAAAAGUAGAUAAGAAAAAUAGCAAAAAGAUAUUGGUCUACCAGAGAGGGCACAUGUGCCUCAAUUGGCCUAUAGCAUAGUGGCUCAUUAUCCUUCAACCGCUGGUGGCGGGCGGUACUCGCUGCUCUGUGAAGCCAGCCUCACGCAAUGUCCGCCACUUUAGGUGUUGGGAUGCAAAGGCUUUCGCCAAGGCAUCCGAAACCCACUACACAACUUGGAAUGGGUGGUCCACAGUUUGUAGCACUAGACCCAGGCACAUGCACCACAAUUGACAUUCACACUACCUUAUUGCCCCCGCUCGGGUUACAAGCAAUCGCUACUUGCUCAGCGAGUGAGGGGGGUUCAAGACUACCUAUUUAAGGUGGUGUUGUACUGUAUGAGCCGGCGGUGUGGUAUUUACCAACUACAAAUAGUGUCAUGCAUGUGACUUGCUAGUUGACAAUGUCUGUUGUGGAGCUAGAUGUGGGCUAUGGAUGAAGCACAUUAGGAUAUAGUAGGCCUAUUUUGUUUUUUGUUAUUUUUGGGCCACUAUGGACUUUAUGUUGAUGUUGUGAAUUUUUUUCUUGUGUUUCCUCUUCCUACGAUGUGGAAAGUGGGUGCGUCAGAGAAGAAAGAAAGAGUGGCUAGCAUUGAUUUUACGUCAUACCAUUGAGAACACUAAUCAGAAGCAGAAGCAACAAUAUUUCAUACAUAUACAACACUUGUAAUCCAUAUAAACAACUUUCCUUUCAAAUAUAAUAUAAACCACAUGAUUUAUAUCCUGGGUCGGCUAUCUCCACAAAGGGCAAGAAAACGCUCCAAGUUUGUAGUAUAGAACUAAAAGUGUCGACUCUCACGAUUUCUUCCCGACAUAUGCAAACUAGACAGUAAUCACAUAAAAUAAAGAAAUAUGUGUUAACACAAACUUAUAACAUGUAUUUCAACAUAUAGAUUUUUGAUUAUUAUGGUAGAUUAUAUAAUAUAGGGGUUCCCGAAGAAAUACAUAAAAAACAAGAGCAUUAAAAUUUCCUUUUCAGAUCUGGCUAACUGGUAAAGGGAGUUGGAGUAUCUGUGUUUCCAAAUUUGGGACGUCGCUCUAUAGAAGGAAUAUAAAUACAUUGGAAAAAAAUUCUACAAGGAAAGGUUUAAUACAAGUAGGGCUAAGAAAAACUCAAUGAGGCUUUGGUCGCAUGGUCACAAAACUUGAGACAAGAAACACGAAGACACCAAGGUAAUUAGUAUGAGAGUUUUCCAAAUUUGGUGUCUUGAUGUAGAAAAAAUAAAUAUAUGACAAACUUGUUUUUUCGCAAGGCAUGGAUAAAUAAGUGGGGGUGAGCAAUAAAUUUCAUCCUAGAUUUAGAAGGAAUAAAUAUAUCACUAAAUACGUUUUUUCAUAAUGCCAAGUUAAUCAGGUGGGAGCGAGAAACAAUUCUAGCGAGGCUAGGUUGUACUAGCCCAAAACUACAUACAACAGAGGAAAAAUGAAGAAAAUGAUGGUCUACCAAAUAUGGCGCAUGAGCCUUAAGGUGCACCUAGAGGGAAGUAGAAGAAAUAAAUAUAUAAUAGCAUAUGUUUUUCUCAAUGCAAGGUAAAGUGUAGAUGUGCUCUAACUGGGCUUAGAUUGCAGCGACACAUUAUGCAUCUACAAGGCUUGGUUGCACAUGGAAAAAGAUAGAGAGAGAAAUGUAGACACAGGACGGGGAGAAAAACAUUCAAUGAGACAUGAUUGCACGGACAUAGAACUAGAUAUAAGACAAGAGUUAAAGAAAAAUAAAGGAACUAAAUUUUCUUCUGCACACUCAGCAUGAAUGGAGUUGUAGUAUCUGAGAUCAAAAUUUAAUUUAUUCCAAGAUGCAGAACAAAAACGUGAUACUCGUAAUGGUUACAUAGGAACAAAAGUAGAUAAGAAAAAUAGCAAAAAGAUAGUGGUCUACCAGAGAGGGCACAUGUGCCUCAAUUGGCCUAUAGCAUAGCGACUCAUUAUCCUUCCACCGCUGGUGGCGGGCGGUACUCGCUGCUCUGUGAAGCCAGCCUCACGCAAUGUCCGCCACUUUAGGUGUUGGGAUGCAAAGGCUUUCGCCAAGGCAUCCGAAACCCACUACACAACUUGGAAUGGGUGGUCCACAGUUUGUAGCACUAGACCCAGGCACAUGCACCACAAUUGACAUCCACACUACCUUAUUGCCCCCGCUCGGGUUACAAGCAAUCGCUACUUGCUCAGCGAGUGAGGGGGUUCAAGACUACCUAUUUAAGGUGGUGUUGUACUCUAUAAGCCGGCGGUGUGGUAUUUACCAACUACAAAUAGUGUCAUGCAUGUGACUUGCUAGUUGACAAUGUCUGUUGUCGAGCUAGAUGUGGGCUACGGAUGAAGCACAUUAUGAUAUAGUAGGCCUAUUUUGUUUUUUGUUGUUUUUGGGCCACUAUGGACUUUAUGUUGAUGUUGUGAAAUUUUUUCUUGUGUUUCCUCUUCCUACGAUGUGGAAAGUGGGUGUGUUAGAGAAGAAAGAAAGAGUGGCUAGCAUUGAUUUUACGUCAUACCAUUGAGAACACUAAUCAGAAGCAGAAGCAACAAUAUUUCAUACAUAUACAACACUUGUAAUCCAUAUAAACAACUUUCCUUUAAAAUAUAAUAUAAACCACAUGAUUUAUAUCCUGGGUCGGCUAUCUCCACAAAGGGCAAGAAAACGCUCCAAGUUUGUAGUAUAGAACUAAAAGUGUCGAUUCUCACGAUUUCUUCCCGACAUAUACAAACUAGACAGUAAUCACAUAAAAUAAAGAAAUAUGUGUUAACACAAACUUAUAGCAUGUAUUUCAACAUAUAGAUUGUUGAUUAUUAUGGUAGAUUAUAUAAAAUAGAGGUUCCCGAAGAAAUACAUAAAAACAAGAGCAUUAAAAUUUCCAUUUCAGAUCUGGCUAUCUGGUAAAAGGAGUUGGAGUAACUGAGUUUCCAAAUUUGUGACGUAGCUCUAUAGAAGGAAUAUAAAUACGUUGGAAAAAUUCUACAAGGAAAGGUUUAAUACAAGUAGGGCUAAGAAAAACUCAAUGAGGCUUUGGUCGCAUGGUCACAAAACUUGAGACAAGAAACACGAAGACACCAAGGUAAUUAGUAUGAGAGUUUUCCAAAUUUGGUGUCUUGAUGUAGAAAAAAUAAAUAUAUGACAAACUUGUUUUUUCGCAAGGCAUGGAUAAAUAAGUGGGGGCGAGCAAUAAAUUUCAUCCUAGAUUUAGAAGGAAUAAAUAUAUCACUAAAUACGUUUUUUCAUAAUGCCAAGUUCAUCAGGUGGGAGCGAGAAACAAUUCUAGCGAGGUUAGGUUGUACUAGCCCAAAACUACAUACAACAGAGGAAAAAUGAAGAAAAUGAUGGUCUACCAAAUAUGGCGCAUGGGCCUUAAGGUGCACCUAGAGGGAAGUAUAAGAAAUAAAUAUAUAAUAGCCUAUGUUUUUCGCAAUGCAAGGUAAAGUGUAGAUGUGCUCUAACUGGGCUUAGAUUGCAGCGACACAUUAUGCAUCUACAAGGCUUGGUUGCACAUGGAAAAAGAUAGAGAGAGAAAUGUAGACACAGGACGGGGAGAAAAACAUUCAAUGAGACAUGAUUGCACGGACAUAGAACUAGAUAUAAGACAAGAGUUAAAGAAAAAUAAAGGAACUAAAUUUUCUUCUGCACACUCAGCAUGAAUGGAGUUGUAGUAUCUGAGAUCAAAAUUUAAUUUAUUCCAAGAUGCAGAACAAAAACGUGAUACUCGUAAUGGUUACAUAGGAACAAAAGUAGAUAAGAAAAAUAGCAAAAAGAUAGUGGUCUACCAGAGAGGGCACAUGUGCCUCAAUUGGCCUAUAGCAUAGCGACUCAUUAUCCUUCCACCGCUGGUGGCAGGCGGUACUCGCUGCUCUGUGAAGCCAGCCUCACGCAAUGUCCGCCACUUUAGGUGUUGGGAUGCAAAGGCUUUCGCCAAGGCAUCCGAAACCCACUACGCAACUUGGAAUGGGUGGUCCACAGUUUGUAGCACUAGACCCAGGCACAUGCACCACAAUUGACAUCCACACUACCUU
rnacentral:lncRNA from 1 species